AUGGGCUUCCACGGGGGAGUUCUCCUGUUCUGGAUGGUCAUUUGGUGGUCCAGGCGAGAGGAGCCGCAGUUUCGCCAAGACGAGCUGCGAGUCGCAUCGUCGACACGGGGAGAUUCGCCACGAGUGCGUAGGCGUGGAACUUCUGCCCGGAAAAAGAGGAGGGUUCGGGCUGGGCCGCCCCAUGGAUCGGGUCGUCCAAAUGUGGCGCUGGUUCUCCCUGGCCAGAGAUUCCACGUGGUUUUCACGCACCGGAAAAAGGUCGGGAUCCGCGGGGGGGAAACCUUGAAACCAAAUGAGCCCUAA
rnacentral:rRNA from 1 species